rnacentral:rRNA from 3 species
UACGAAGGGGGCUAGCGUUGUUCGGAAUUACUGGGCGUAAAGCGCACGUAGGCGGAUACUUAAGUCAGGGGUGAAAUCCCGGGGCUCAACCCCGGAACUGCCUUUGAUACUGGGUAUCUCGAGUCCGGAAGAGGUGAGUGGAAUUCCGAGUGUAGAGGUGAAAUUCGUAGAUAUUCGGAGGAACACCAGUGGCGAAGGCGGCUCACUGGUCCGGUACUGACGCUGAGGUGCGAAAGCGUGGGGAGCAAACAGG